CGACGCCGUUGGGUGUUGAAGUAAAAGGAAAGAAGAGCGAGACUGAAAUCACAUCACUGUGCCUCCGUCACAGCCAAAGGUGUCGUCGUUGCGGCUCACAGCGCCACCAUCCAAACAAUCUCGAAGAGAAAAGAUUGCAGGCAACUGGUUUUCCUAUCGGUGAUUGAUUUUCUCUAUAUAAAUCCUUGGGUGUAUGUUUCAUUUUUCAGCUAAAGGAAAAAAUGAAGAUUGUUUUGGUUGCAGUUAGGUCAUUAAGUGCCAAUUUGUCACAUCAAUUUCAUCAGACCCAUAUGCUCAGAAGUCUUUCCACUUGGCAAUUUACAGGUACUUGG